rnacentral:rRNA from 1 species
CCGGCGACCGGCGCACGGGUGAGUAACACGUAUGCAACCUGGCCGUGACAGAUGGAUAACCGGGAGAAAUCCCGCCUAAUACAACAUAAUGCCGGGAGGGGACAUCCCCUGCCGGCCAAAGGGGGCGACCCCGGUCACGGAUGGGCAUGCGGCGCAUUAGGUAGUUGGUGGGGCAACGGCCCACCAAGCCGACGAUGCGUAGGGGUUCUGAGAGGAAGGUCCCCCACAUUGGAACUGAGACACGGUCCAGACUCCUACGGGAGGCAGCAG